rnacentral:rRNA from 1 species
UUGGAGGGCAAGUCUGGUGCCAGCAGCCGCGGUAAUUCCAGCUCCAAUAGCGUAUAUUAAAGUUGUUGAGGUUAAAAAGCUCGUAGUUGAACCUUGGGCCUAGCCGGCCGGUCCGCCUCACCGCGUGCACUGGCUCGGCUGGGCCUUUCCUCCUGGAGAACCGCAUGCCCUUCACUGGGCGUGCUGGGGAACCAGGACUUUUACUCUGAACAAAUUAGAUCGCUUAAAGAAGGCCUAUGCUCGAAUACAUUAGCAUGGAAUAAUAGAAUAGGACGUGUGGUUCUAUUUUGUUGGUUUCUAGGACCGCCGUAAUGAUUAAUAGGGACAGUCGGGGGCAUCAGUAUUCAAUUGUCAGAGGUGAAAUUCUUGGAUUUAUUGAAGACUAACUACUGCGAAAGCAUUUGCCAAGGAUGUUUUCAUUAAUCAGGAACGAAAGUUAGGGGAUCGAAGACGAUCAGAUACCGUCGUAGUCUUAACCAUAAACUAUGCCGAUUAGGGAUCGGACGGUGUUAUUUUUUGACCCGUUCGGCGCCUUACGGGAAAC